CUCUUUUCAGAACUCCACAGCCCUUCGCAGAGCUUUCCUUUGGGAAUUGUUACAUAAGUGCCAUUUGAGCCUGUACAUUCCCCCCCACCCCGAGAUUUUCACAUCCAUCCAUCACAUCCACGUUUGCUAUCCUAGGCUCUCUGCGCCUUCAGCCGGCCUGCGGGCCGCACCUCGCCAGCAGAGGCCGCUCUCAGAGGCGGGGGGGUGGGGGGGUGGGGGGGUGGGGGGCCACCCUGGGGAUGCUCAGGCUUUGGAAAUCCAGGGGGUUCUCAGAGCUUAUUUUGUCCAUGGAGGCCUGGUCCCUGGUCCCCGGCUUUCCCAUCUCCAGAAAUUGGACCUCCUGUAACUCCAACCCGGUUGCACGGAGGCGCGCCUGCCGUCGACGCAUGUAGCUGGCUGGUGCGGCUCUUCAUUGAAACGGAGCACCUGCCCGGUUUUGUGCCUUUGCAUAAUGAGGACACGUAGCAUAUUCGAAGUGGAGGUGGCCUGAUUCUCUGCCCCUGGGGCUAAUGCGGCUGUUUAUACGGAGGAGCCAAGGCCGAUCCUUCACCGGAAGGUGCGCUGUCCUGCAGGCUGAAGCAUUCACACCGGCCCUGCUGCUGAUUUGAAACCAUGUUCAGGUCCCCCCUCCCUCUCUAACGCAGGGAUCACUCAGCACCUCCCGAAGGCCACUGAUGCUGGGCUGGUUCCUGACACUGCUUCUGGAGGAUCUGCAGUGCAGACGUUAGGAGUGGGAACAGACUCCCUGAACUGGAAUCUUGACUGGCUGUGUGAGCUUGGGCAAGGCAUACAACCUCUCUGUGCCCGUUUCUCCACCCAUGAAAUGGGGACGAUUGUCCCACUGCUUCUGUGGGUCUGCUGUCUCAUUGGAGGUAGCAACGUGUUCCUGGUGUGUCACCCACAGUCAGUACGGAGAGUGCAAGAUUCUCAAAGAAGACAAGGCCCUAGAGGAGAGGCCGUGGGAAAUGCUUGCAGAGGCAAGAAAUUGUCCUUCCUGGGAACUGUCAAGAGAUCUCAAAGCAGGGAAACCCUCCAGACUGGUCAAUCCUGCCUUCUCAAUAAACAUAUCAAGUAGGUUUCUUGGAGUAAGACCAGGCAUUGAAAGAGAGAAAGAGAGAGAAGAUCCAAAGUCAAAACCAAUUUGAAUAGGUUGCAUGCUGUGAAUCUCCCUGACUGUUCCCGUGACAGGUGACAGCCGGGUAAGCUGCAGGAACCCCUUUAGGGGACCACCUCUCUGGUCCUGGGUGUGGGAACUCUGGUCUCAUCAGCCUCGGGUCAUCAGCUCACUGGUUGCUGGGAGGGGCUCAACAGGGCACGCCGGGUCCUGGCCUUUGUUUUCCCCUCUGGAUAAUGGGGCUGGUCUUCGUGGUGCUCAAAUGGAACCAGAGAGCCUGGAGCAGAGCCCUUAAUGAGGGCCGCUGGAUGAUGAAAGAGCCCUGAAGCUCCAGCCACCAUCCCUGCGCUUUGGAAUAAAUGCGGCCAGCUUGGGGGACGCGCA
rnacentral:lncRNA from 12 species